UGGAUGGGUAGGGGAGCGUCGUGUGCCGGGUGAAGCAGCCGCGGAAGCGAGUUGUGGACGGUUCACGAGUGAGAAUGCAGGCAUGAGUAGCGAUACACACGUGAGAAACGUGUGCGCCGAUUGACUAAGGGUUCCUGGGUCAAGCUGAUCUGCCCAGGGUAAGUCGGGACCUAAGGCGAGGCCGACAGGCGUAGUCGAUGGACAACCGGUUGAUAUUCCGGUACCCGCUUUGAAACGCCCAGUACUGAAUCAGGCGAUGCUAAGUCCGUGAAGCCGGCCCGAUCUCUUCGGAGUUGAGGGUAGUGGUGGAGCCGAUGAACCAGACUUGUAGUAGGUAAGCGAUGGGGUGACGCAGGAAGGUAGUCCAGCCCGGGCGGUGGUUGUCCCGGGGUAAGGGUGUAGGACGCACGGUAGGCAAAUCCGUCGUGCAUAUAGUCUGAGACCUGAUGCCGAGCCGAUUGUGGUGAAGUGGAUGAUCCUAUGCUGUCGAGAAAAGCCUCUAGCGAGUUUCAUGGCGGCCCGUACCCUAAACCGACUCAGGUAGUCAGGUAGAGAAUACCGAGGCGUUCGGGUGAACUAUGGUUAAGGAACUCGGCAAAAUGCCCCCGUAACUUCGGGAGAAGGGGGGCCAUCACUGGUGAGGGGACUUGCUUCCUGAGCUGGGGGUGGCCGCAGAGACCAGCGAGAAGCGACUGUUUACUAAAAACACAGGUCCGUGCGAAGCCGUAAGGCGAUGUAUACGGACUGACGCCUGCCCGGUGCUGGAACGUUAAGGGGACCGGUUAGUGCACUUUCGGGUGUGCGAAGCUGAGAACUUAAGCGCCAGUAAACGGCGGUGGUAACUAUAACCAUCCUAAGGUAGCGAAAUUCCUUGUCGGGUAAGUUCCGACCUGCACGAAUGGCGUAACGACUUCUCGACUGUCUCAACCAUAGGCCCGGUGAAAUUGCACUACGAGUAAAGAUGCUCGUUUCGCGCAGCAGGACGGAAAGACCCCGGGACCUUUACUAUAGUUUGAUAUUGGUGUUCGGUUCGGCUUGUGUAGGAUAGGUGGGAGACUUUGAAGCAGCCACGCCAGUGGUUGUGGAGUCGCCGUUGAAAUACCACUCUGGUCGUGCUGGAUGUCUAACCUGGGUCCGUGAUCCGGAUCAGGGACAGUGUCUGAUGGGUAGUUUAACUGGGGCGGUUGCCUCCUAAAGAGUAACGGAGGCGCCCAAAGGUUCCCUCAGCCUGGUUGGCAAUCAGGUGUUGAGUGUAAGUGCACAAGGGAGCUUGACUGUGAGACCGACGGGUCGAGCAGGGACGAAAGUCGGGACUAGUGAUCCGGCAGUGGCUUGUGGAAGCGCUGUCGCUCAACGGAUAAAAGGUACCCCGGGGAUAACAGGCUGAUCUUCCCCAAGAGUCCAUAUCGACGGGAUGGUUUGGCACCUCGAUGUCGGCUCGUCGCAUCCUGGGGCUGGAGUCGGUCCCAAGGGUUGGGCUGUUCGCCCAUUAAAGCGGUACGCGAGCUGGGUUUAGAACGUCGUGAGACAGUUCGGUCCCUAUCCGCUGUGCGCGUAGGAAUAUUGAGAAGGGCUGUCCCUAGUACGAGAGGACCGGGACGGACGAACCUCUGGUGUGCCAGUUGUCCUGCCAAGGGCAUGGCUGGUUGGCUACGUUCGGAAAGGAUAACCGCUGAAAGCAUCUAAGCGGGAAGCCUGCUUCGAGAUGAGUAUUCCCACCACCUUGAGUGGUUAAGGCUCCCAGUAGACGACUGGGUUGAUAGGCCAGAUGUGGAAGCCCGGUAACGGGUGGAGCUGACUGGUACUAAUAGGCCGAGGGCUUGUCCUC
rnacentral:rRNA from 1 species